rnacentral:rRNA from 1 species
CAGUAGCCACGGUAAUACAGAGGGUGCAAGCGUUAAUCGGAAUUACUGGGCGUAAAGCGCGCGUAGGCGGCUUUUUAAGUCGGAUGUGAAAUCCCUGAGCUUAACUUAGGAAUUGCAUUCGAUACUGGGAAGCUAGAGUAUGGGAGAGGAUGGUAGAAUUCCAGGUGUAGCGGUGAAAUGCGUAGAGAUCUGGAGGAAUACCGAUGGCGAAGGCAGCCAUCUGGCCUAAUACUGACGCUGAGGUACGAAAGCAUGGGGAGCAAACAGGAUUAGAUACCCCCGUAGUCCCUGUCUCUUAUAC